rnacentral:rRNA from 1 species
UCCGUAGGGUGCAAUCGUUAAUCGGAAUUACUGGGCGUAAAGCGUGCGCAGGCGGUUCCAUAAGACAGAUGUGAAAUCCCCGGGCUCAACCUGGGAACUGCAUUUGUGACUGUGGGGCUAGAGUACGGUAGAGGGGGAUGGAAUUCCGCGUGUAGCAGUGAAAUGCGUAGAUAUGCGGAGGAACACCAAUGGCGAAGGCAAUCCCCUGGACCUGUACUGACGCUCAUGCACGAAAGCGUGGGGAGAAAACAGG